rnacentral:rRNA from 1 species
UCGAGGAUCUUCGGCAAUGAGCGCAAGCUUGACCGAGCGACGCCGCGUGGAUGAUGAAGGCCUUCGGGUUGUAAAAUCCUGUCGAGGGGGAUCAAGGGUAACUUGAGUGAUCCCUGGAGGAAGGGCGGGCUAAGUUCGUGCCAGCAGCCGCGGUAAGACGAACUGCCCAAACGUUGUUCGGAAUCACUGGGCUUAAAGGGCGCGUAGGCGGCGAUUCAAGUCAGGGGUGAAAUCCGGCAGCUCAACUGUCGAAGUGCCUUUGAUACUGAGUUGCUCGAGGGAGGUAGGGGUCUGUGGAACUUCUGGUGGAGCGGUGAAAUGCGUUGAUAUCAGAAGGAACGCCGGUGGCGAAAGCGACGGACUGGACCUUUUCUGACGCUGAGGCGCGAAAGCUAGGGGA